rnacentral:rRNA from 1 species
UGGCGAUGAACGGAAUAGCCCAUCGCCGAACCGCAGGCCCUCUCGGUCUCGCGGAAUGUGGCGUUUGGGAGAGUCUUCUCGCAGUGUAGACGGCCAGUCAAAGUCCAACUUGACAGUGGCCAUGGCCCGUAGAGGGUGAUAGGCCCGUAAGGCGGCUGUCCUCGUUGCGCCGACUUUUCCCUAGAGUCGGGUUGCUUGGGAGUGCAGCCCAAAGUGCGAGGUAAACUCCUCGUAAGGCUAAAUAUAACCCCGAGACCGAUAGCAAACAAGUACCGUGAGGGAAGAUUGAAAAGAACUUUGAAGAGAGAGUUCAAGAGUACGUGAAACUGUGUGGUGGUAAACGGAGGGGUUCUCGAAGUUUCUGAGGGGGACUCAACCUUGGUGGCGCUGGGCCCGGGCGUAUUUGAUCAGCAAUGACUCUGCGCCCGGCUCCUGGCUCCUCCCGGACGCACUUUCUCCUCAGUUUACGGCAGGAACCGUUAGGAGCGGACCGAAGGCCUGGGGUGAAGUUGUCGGUUAUGCCGGCAGCCCUCGGUGUCCUGGCUUCGCACCUGACGGGUAUGUAAGCGAACUCGUAUAGCGAGCGGUUGUCUAUCGCGGUUCGCAUCUCUCUGCCGAGUAGGUCGGCGGCCCCUCCGACCCGUCUUGAAACACGGACC